CUUUCUGUGUUUUACAGAAAGGAAUUGCUAGUACUGUGUAUUCUCUUUUGCUUCAUUUUAGGCAGCCUGUGACUCACUGCAAAGGUAUUGUCCCAUUUCCUUAUGAGCUGUGAGGCUGGCCUGCAGGAGUGGUGGCAGUCUGUGGGGUGGAGUUGUAGCUAGAUGAAGAAAGCCGGAACUGUCCGAGUUUGCAGCGAGUCUGAAUUAUGGAGCAGGUGUCUGCCCUGCUCUGGAGCCUGUGCUCGGCGUGCCUGCGGUACAUCGGGCCCAGCAGCAGGAACCUGGGGUCACUUGGGAGCUCAGAUGGAGUUCGGGUACCACUGCCAGCUGGAUCAUCUACCGCAGAACUGUAAGAAACUGGAAGUAUUUGAAGCUACCAGUGACAGAGGAUCUGUUUGCAUCAGGCUUCCAGCGGGAGUUGUUCAAAUCUUCAGAGAAACUUUCUGUAAUUCUUCAGGUACUAGGGUGAAAAGGUUACAGUCAAUAAGUGCUGUGUUAAUUAAUCGGUGCUGUCUCCUGGGACACAGGGAAUGGAG